GACGAACGCUGGCGGCGUGCUUAACACAUGCAAGUCGAACGGAAAGGCCCUGCUUUUGUGGGGUGCUCGAGUGGCGAACGGGUGAGUAACACGUGAGUAACCUGCCCUUGACUUUGGGAUAACUUCAGGAAACUGGGGCUAAUACCGGAUAGGAGCUCCUGCUGCAUGGUGGGGGUUGGAAAGUUUCGGCGGUUGGGGAUGGACUCGCGGCUUAUCAGCUUGUUGGUGGGGUAGUGGCUUACCAAGGCUUUGACGGGUAGCCGGCCUGAGAGGGUGACCGGCCACAUUGGGACUGAGAUACGGCCCAGACUCCUACGGGAGGCAGCAGUGGGGAAUAUUGCACAAUGGGCGGAAGCCUGAUGCAGCAACGCCGCGUGCGGGAUGACGGCCUUCGGGUUGUAACGGACUUCGCUCGUGACGAAGCGUGAGU
rnacentral:rRNA from 1 species